rnacentral:piRNA from 1 species
ACCUGUAAUACAUGUAAUUCUGU